GGGGAAGUGCUGGAAUUGGCAGACAGGCAUGACUUAGGAUCAUGUGCCGCAAGGCGUGUGGGUUCGACCCCCACCUUCCCCA
rnacentral:tRNA from 1 species